rnacentral:rRNA from 1 species
UGAGGAAUAUUGGGUCAAUGGCCGCAAGGCUGAACCAGCCAAGUAGCGUGCAGGAUGACGGCCCUCGGGUUGUAAACUGCUUUUAGUCGGGAAUAAAAGGGCGCACGUGUGCGUCGUAUUGCAAGUACCGUCAGAAAAAGGACCGGCUAAUUCCGUGCCAGCAGCCGCGGUAAUACGGAAGGUCCGGGCGUUAUCCGGAUUUAUUGGGUUUAAAGGGAGCGUAGGCGGUCUGGUAAGUCAGCUGUGAAAACGCGGGGCUCAACUCCGCGCCUGCAGUUGAUACUGUCGGACUUGAGUGCACGCAGGGAUGCCGGAAUUCAUGGUGUAGCGGUGAAAUGCUUAGAUAUCAUGAAGAACUCCGAUCGCGAAGGCAGGUGUCCGGAGUGCUACUGACGCUGAGGCUCGAAAGUGUGGGUAUCAAACAGGAUUAGAUACCCUGGUAGU